UUUAUUCAUGUUGGGGAAUAUUCAUAUCCAAAGCAACUUGAUGCACAAGCAGCAUUGGGCCGAAAUAGAUUUUAGUAGGAUUGCCCUAAUGCAUUUCCUAUUGGUUGAUGAUGAUUAUGAUCUGUGUAACGCUUUGUGUGAUAUUUUGUAUGUCCUGCAGACUGUACAGCACAUCUCUGCUGUUGGUGUGGUCUGAGAACAUUUAGGGAACUCUAGCCGGUGAACUUUAACGUUUCAUUGUCAAGCAGCUGCUGUGAAACUACCAUGUGUAUGCAGCGGUGAUAUUUCUGUGCGUGAGUGAAACCAGGACAGUACCUCGGAGAGACGUGCUGAGGCCGCUACACCGAGCAGCAAGUGAAUCACAUGAAGGAGUAGAGGAAGGAGAUCACAAUGAAAAAAGAAGAAAAUGAUGUGGUGGCAAUAUUGUUUAGGUCAAGGUCACCUUAAUUGGCAUAACUGUCUGCUCAGCACACAACUGAGAAAACAAACACACACACACGCACACGCACACACACACACGCACACACACACACACACA